UACGUAGGGAGCGAGCGUUGUCCGGAUUCAUUGGGCGUAAAGCGCUUUAAGGCGGUUCGCUAAGUCGCGUGUGAAAACUCCAGGCUCAACCUGGAGACGCCACGUGAUACUGGCGUGACUAGAGUUCGGUAGGGGAUCACGGAAUUCCGUGGUGUAGCGGUGAGAUGCGCAGAUAUCAGGAGGAACACCGGUGGCGAAGGCGGAUGAUCGUGGGCCGACACGUGACGCUGGUAGAGCGAAA
rnacentral:rRNA from 1 species